CAGCCGCCGCGGGAAUACGAAGGGGGCUAGCGUUGCUCGGAAUCACUGGGCGUAAAGGGUGCGUAGGCGGGUCUUUAAGUCAGGGGUGAAACCCUGGAGCUCAACUCCAGAACUGCCUUUGAUACUGAAGAUCUUGAGUUCGGGAGAGGUGAGUGGAACUGCGAGUGUAGAGGUGAAAUUCGUAGAUAUUCGCAAGAACACCAGUGGCGAAGGCGGCUCACUGGCCCGAUACUGACGCUGAGGCACGAAAGCGUGGGGAGCAAACAGGAUUAGAUACCCCUGUAGUCCCUGUCUCUUAUAC
rnacentral:rRNA from 1 species